GGGCCCGCACAAGCGGUGGAGCAUGUGGUUUAAUUCGAUGAUACGCGAGGAACCUUACCAGGGCUUAAAUGUAAGUUGCAUUAGCUAGAGAUAGCUAUUUCUUCGGACUACUUACAAGGUGCUGCAUGGUUGUCGUCAGCUCGUGCCGUGAGGUGUCAGGUUAAGUCCUAUAACGAGCGCAACCCCUGUCGUUAGUUGCCAGCAUGUAAAGAUGGGGACUCUAGCGAGACUGCCGGUGCAAACCGAGAGGAAGGUGGGGAUGACGUCAAAUCAUCACGGCCCUUACGUCCUGGCUACACACGUGCUACAAUGGUAUGGACAAUGAGCAGCCACUAUGCGAAUAGGAGCG
rnacentral:rRNA from 1 species